UACGAGGGGGGCGAGCGUUGUUCGGAAUUAUUGGGCGUAAAGGGUGCGUAGGCGGUUUGGUAAGUCUCGUGUGAAAUCUCCGGGCUCAACUCGGAGCCUGCACGAGAAACUGCCGGGCUUGAGUGUGGGAGAGGUGAGUGGAAUUCCUGGUGUAGCGGUGAAAUGCGCAGAUAUCAGGAGGAACACCGGCGGCGAAGGCGGGUCUCUGGGCCAUAACUGACGCUGAGGAGCGAAAGCGUGGGGAGCGAACAGG
rnacentral:rRNA from 1 species